UGGUGCAUGGUUGUCGUCAGCUCGUGUCGUGAGAGUGUUGGGUUAAGUCCCGCAACGAGCGCAACCCUCGUCCUAUGUUGCCAGCGGGUCAUGCCGGGGACUCAUGGGAGACUGCCGGGGUCAACUCGGAGGAAGUGGGAUGACGUCAAAUCAUCAUGCCCCUUAUGUCUUGGGCUUCACGCAUGCUACAAUGGCCGGUACAAAGGGCUGCGAUACCGCGAGGUGGAGCGAAUCCCAGAAAGCCGGUCUCAGUUCGGAUUGGGGUCUGCAACUCGACCCCAUGAAGUCGGAGUCGCUAGUAAUCGCAGAUCAGCAACGCUGCGGUGAAUACGUUCCCGGGCCUU
rnacentral:rRNA from 1 species